GAUGAACGCUGGCGGCGUGCCUAAUACAUGCAAGUCGAGCGAAUGGAUUAAGAGCUUGCUCUUAUGAAGUUAGCGGCGGACGGGUGAGUAACACGUGGGUAACCUGCCCAUAAGACUGGGAUAACUCCGGGAAACCGGGGCUAAUACCGGAUAACAUUUUGAACCGCAUGGUUCGAAAUUGAAAGGCGGCUUCGGCUGUCACUUAUGGAUGGACCCGCGUCGCAUUAGCUAGUUGGUGAGGUAACGGCUCACCAAGGCAACGAUGCGUAGCCGACCUGAGAGGGUGAUCGGCCACACUGGGACUGAGACACGGCCCAGACUCCUACGGGAGGCAGCAGUAGGGAAUCUUCCGCAAUGGACGAAAGUCUGACGGAGCAACGCCGCGUGAGUGAUGAAGGCUUUCGGGUCGUAAAACUCUGUUGUUAGGGAAGAACAAGUAUCGGAGUAACUGCCGGUACCUUGACGGUACCUAACCAGAAAGCCACGGCUAACUACGUGCCAGCAGCCGCAGUAA
rnacentral:rRNA from 1 species